UACGGGGGGGGCAAGCGUUGUUCGGAAUUACUGGGCGUAAAGGGCGCGUAGGCGGCUUUGCAAGUGAGGUGUGAAAGCCCUCGGCUUAACCGAGGAACUGCCUGUCAGACUGUGAGGCUUGAGACCGGGAGAGGUGAGUGGAAUUCCCAGUGUAGCGGUGAAAUGCGUAGAUAUUGGGAGGAACACCAGUGGCGAAGGCGGCUCACUGGAACGGAACUGACGCUGAGGCGCGAAAGCGUGGGGAGCAAACAGG
rnacentral:rRNA from 1 species